AUUGAACGCUGGCGGCAGGCUUAACACAUGCAAGUCGAGCGGGGGAAGGUAGCUUGCUACCGGACCUAGCGGCGGACGGGUGAGUAAUGCUUAGGAAUCUGCCUAUUAGUGGGGGACAACAUCUCGAAAGGGAUGCUAAUACCGCAUACGUCCUACGGGAGAAGGCAGGGGAUCUUCGGACCUUGCGCUAAUAGAUGAGCCUAAGUCAGAUUAGCUAGUUGGUGGGGUAAAGGCCUACCAAGGCGACGAUCUGUAGCGGGGCUGAGAGGAUGAUCCGCCACACUGGGACUGAGACACGGCCCAGACUCCUACGGGAGGCAGCAGUGGGGAAUAUUGGACAAUGGGGGGAACCCUGAUCCAGCCAUGCCGCGUGUGUGAAGAAGGCCUUAUGGUUGUAAAGCACUUUAAGCGAGGAGGAGGCUACUUUAGUUAAUACCUAGAGAUAGUGGACGUUACUCGCAGAAUAAGCACCGGCUAACUCUGUGCCAGCCGCCGCCGUAA
rnacentral:rRNA from 1 species